rnacentral:ncRNA from 1 species
AUCGGACCCGGCGCUGCCGGGUGGCUCGGCCCGGCGCCUAUCCCCGGGACAAUG